GCUGCCCACUGCUCUGAAGGAAUACUUCACCGGCUUUGCCAAAUCCCUGGGCCUCACCGAUGACCACAUCAUCUUCCCUGUCCCCACUGACCAGUGCAUCGAUGAUAAGUGAAUGAGUAUGCGGUGUCCCCCGUCUCUCUCCUCCCCAUCACCCUCACGCUGACCUCUGCCCAGGGCACCGCCCAGCUGUUCCACCAACCCGGACACCAGGAGAGAGCCCGGAGACCCUUCUCACCACACAGCCCACCAGCUGCUUCCCAGGCUGCCCUUCUGAUGGAACCCCUCCUUGCUUGCUAAAUAAACACAUGCCCCCAGGUC